AUGGGGAGGGGGAAGAUAGUGAUAAGGAGGAUCGACAACUCGACGAACAGGCAGGUGACCUUCUCGAAGCGGCGGGGCGGGCUGCUGAAGAAGGCCAAGGAGCUCUCCAUCCUCUGCGAUGCGGAGGUCGGCCUCGUCGUCUUCUCCAGCACCGGCAGGCUCCACGAGUUCUCCAGCACCAACAUGAAAGCUGUGAUAGACCGAUAUACCAAGGCAAAAGAGGAGCAGGCUGGCGUGAAUGCAACUUCAGAGAUUAAGCUUUGGCAAAGGGAGGCAGCAAGCUUGAGGCAGCAACUGCACGACUUGCAAGAAAGCCACAAGCAACUGAUGGGAGAGGAGCUUUCCAGCCUAGGUGUAAGAGAUCUCCAGGGUUUAGAGAAUCGGCUCGAAAUGAGUUUACGCAGUAUCAAAACAAGGAAGGACAACCUUCUGAGAAGUGAAAUUGAAGAGUUACACAGGAAGGGAAGUCUAAUCCACCAGGAAAACACGGAACUGUGUCGUAGAUUAAACAUCAUGUCACAACAAAAAAUGGAACUGAGCAGAAAGCUUCAGAGCUGUGAAUCGGGAGGUGCCACUGAUGCAAAUAAAAGCUCUAGCACUCCCUACAGCUUUCGUAUUGUACAAGACGCAAAUAUUCCUGCUAAUCUUGAACUGAGCCAGGCACAACAAAAUGAACAGGAGCACUCCGAAACAGACGCUCCAGCACUGGGACUUCAACUGUCCUAA
rnacentral:rRNA from 1 species